AGGGCGACAACGUCCGCCCACACCCGUAGGUCUUUGGAAGUUAAGAGAGCGUGUGCACUGCCCCCGCCCCAACACAACCAAAACAAUGAAAGCUAUCAUUCAGAGGGUCACCAAGGCGACUGUGACAGUGGGAGGAGAAGAGAUCAGUUCAAUAGGACGAGGACUGUGUGUACUGCUGGGAAUAUCAGUGGAGGAUACCCAGAAGGAUGCGGACUACCUAGUACGCAAGAUCCUGAACCUGCGGCUGUUUGAAGAUGAGAACGGCCGGGCGUGGAGCAAAAGUGUCAUGGACAGGGACUUUGAGGUGCUGUGUGUGAGCCAGUUCACGCUGCAGUGCAUACUGAAAGCCAACAAGCCAGACUUCCACUCAGCCAUGCCUGCAGAGUUGGCCCAGCCCUUCUACAAUAGCAUCCUGGAGAACAUGAGGAGUACCUACAAGCCAGAGCUGAUUAAGGAUGGGAAAUUUGGUGCCUAUAUGCAGGUCCACAUACAAAAUGACGGGCCUGUUACCAUUGAGCUGAUGUCACCUAGUGGCCCCACAGACCCCAAACAGCUGUCCAAGCAGGAGAAGCAGCAGCAGAGGAAAGAGAAGACGCGCUCCAAGGGCCCCUCUGAGUCGAGCAGGGAAAAAGUCGCUUCACGUUCCCGACAGGACCCCAAUGCCAGCAGUGGAGCUGACGGUGAUGUGUCAUCAGAGAGGGAGACCUAGGUCAGCAGGGUGAGGGAGCCUCGGAGACGUACACAAAAACAAUCACACAAAUAUGUCAAACCGGGGACAUAACGGUGAGCCCAGUUUCCACAGGAAGGCCUUAAUCCUCAGUGACUCUUACAGCUGACCGUGGACUGUGCUCCUUCCUUUUGGAAAUCAGCAGGAUUCUCUUGGCCUGUCGCAGAGCAUCAC